AGAACUGUUAACUCGAAGUAUGGAAUGAUAGGGUAACGCCUAGAAACAUACUCACUGAGCUGCGGCAAGCAAUACUCACGUUGUAAAUGGUAGAAGUUGUUUGAAGCCCGCUAAAGUCGGCUGAAGUUUACCCUAACACAGUAAGAUGGUGAGGAAAGACGAUUUUCGUUGUAAAUGAUAGGUCGGGUGUCUAUAA
rnacentral:ncRNA from 1 species